UGCUCACUAUAAUGUUAGGCGGGGUCCCUGAGACGCCCGCCAAAAAACUAGAACAUAUAGAAUUUAUAUAACAGUUGUAGCUACACUCUGUACUUACUUAUCUGUGAUUUGAUUAUUAGCAUAAAUGUGUCUUCUCGCUUUUUUUCUAUUGUCCUAUCUAACAUAUAUGUUUUCACGUUAUUGAUAUAUCAAUUCACAGGUUGCGGUUAAAAACUUAAGUGUCGGACUACAGAUGUUGCAUGCCUAGUCACUGAAAAAAAAUGUAGUGGAUUCUACCUGGAACGUUUGACAGUUUCCACAAUCAUAUACAGUUGUUUUAGUACAAGCUGUCCUGUGUACUUCAAUGUUUUUUUUAUUUUAUUUUCUUUUUUGGUCCCUCAAUUCGUUCGAUCUGACAUUCUUCCCCAGCCCUAGCUAGACCAUACUAGGGGAACCGUCCUGUGAGUGAAAGAGUGGGAAUCGAACCAGGGAUUGUGACCCUGGCAAACGGGAUGAGGUACCGGGACGGCUACAUCAAAGUACCGCAGGACGGACUGUACUACGUGUACAGCCAGCUGUAUUUCCGCUACAUGUGGACGGGGGAGGGGGAGCAGUCAACGGAAGAGCACCAGCUUCUGCACUUCACGUACAAGAAAAGCGCCACCUACCGGGAACCAUAGGAAGUGAUGAAAGUGCCAGAACAAAAUGUUGGAGUAAGCGGAGCCUUUACGGCCUGCUGUCGAGUUACCAGGGCGGGGUGUUCCGGCUGCGGGCGGGGGACAGGCUGUUCGUGCAAGUCAGUAACGUCGCCAUGGUCAGCUUCGAGGAGGCCGCAAGCUACUUAGGAGCCUUCAUGAUAUAGAACGCCGGGCGCCAUGGGUUAUACCGGCCUUACAGAUACAGAAGCUGGUGUGUUACGCCGAAGGGCGGUUAUACUGGCUAUAUAGAUACAGAUACAGAAGCUGGUGUGUUACA